rnacentral:lncRNA from 1 species
GUAGUAUUUGCAUUCCAGAAUUUAGGUUGCUCUUUUGUGUACCCUACUUAGGUUAAUGUAUCUAAACAGUGUGAUUGGACAAAAAAUACAGUAUCAACUGAACAUACUUUCCCAAACUGAGGGAUGAAUCAGGUGUAGAAAAAUAUGAAAUAAUUUUACAUACAGAUGAAAAUGAAUUUUUGAGAAUUUUUUAGAUUUUGUAUUCACUGCACCAUAAAAGACCUAAAAGUACUAGUGGCCUUAGGUUUUUAAAAAUAGCAAAAAAAGUAAACGGUCAUGAUACAUAUUCAAAUUCAUUUCUGAAUAGUAAAAUGAAAGUACUUCAGUUAACUGUGAAUGUAGAAUUUUUUGCAGUGUUAGAAAGUGGUGAAAAUUCUAAAAAGGCUAUCAUUAUCCCUUAUGGGCUAGGAAAUACUACCGUGCCACCUUUAAGA